rnacentral:pre_miRNA from 1 species
UCGGUUAUCAUGGUACCGGUGCUGUGUGCAUGAAAGGUACAGUACUGUGAUAACUGAAG